rnacentral:lncRNA from 1 species
UUUCUUCUAUUCUUCUCUCUAGAUGUUGGUGUUCUAACCAAUAAGCCCCGAUGCGAUAUUAUGUUCGAUCGAUUCGGGAACCAACUAACGAAUGCCAAAGUGUUGUCUAAAUAAGACUAUACUUUGUGAAAUUCGUUAAGGUUCUGAUCUCGUGACCAUCGUUAGGUUUGAUUGGGUUUAACACUAAUACGUAUUCCACUCUGUUAAACUAAAUGUUUAACUACCAGAAAGCUCUGCACUAUACACUUACAAUCAAAAUAGAUGUAUAAUCAUCAGAAGACUUAGAAUCAAGAUGCUUGUUUAAUCAAGACUAUAUGCUAACAAGUAUGUGGGGGUUUUGUGCACAUUACUGCUAAUGAUUUAUCACGUUAGGUGGGCGAGCCUAAUUUAGUGAUAUGUCCACGGUUAUAGAUACGGUCGAGUGACAACUGAACCAGCUAAUUAAUAGAGAGGUAAUUACAGUAGAUUGGAACAAGAGUGGCGAGACGGCACCGAAAGGCUUAAAGAAGUGGCUUAUUUUAUCAAAUAAAUUAAUUAAAUUAAACAUUGUUUUACAUAUUCGGGUCUAUCCCAUAUUAAAGCUACCUUUCAAAACAUGAUUUUAUCCCAUCUAUUUAAUAAAUAAAAUCCGGUGUUUUCUAACUCUGAUAUUUUUCCUAACUCGCGGUCCUGAUGAAAUCUCCGCUGCAAUAUUUUCAAAAUAACCGCCGGUACCACUUGACUGCUUCACGGCUCCCGUCCAGGGUGUGGUCGGGGAUCGUGACAAGUGUUGGUCCUAAAAACCUAGAUUAACUAAAUACUAACAAAAAUUAUUGUUUUCAUCGAGUUUGAAAGUUUCGAUUGAUUAUGAUUGAGAAAGUUAUCAAAUUUAAAGAAAAGCAAUCCCCUCUGGAUUUUCGGUUCAAUAUUUCACCCAAACUUGUUUAAUUAGAUAGAUACCAAAAGGCCUUGUUAAUGGUUUAAUUCGAGUGAUAACCAAAGACGAGUUUUUAAGGACAACCUAUGCAGUUCAAUUACCGAAUCGUAAGUUCCAAUAAUCCUCCUAAUAACCAAACUACUCAUGAUGCAAGAAAACCGAAUGCGAAUGGUAAAAGAUGAAUAAUUGCAAAACACACAAUUAUUUUAAACAAAAUAAACCACGUGCUAGCGCCCAACUGGGCUUUGAAGGGACAGGGAAAGAGAAGAAAAGAAAGAGGGUAACUCCUUUUAGGAGCAUGGCUCGUUCAUUCACUUGCUCAUGAACUCACAGCUUCGCCAGAAGCUACAAAGGGGGGGCUUGCCCCGGGA